GCCGGGUGAGGUGGCAUGUGCCUGUAGUCGCAGCUACUCGGGAGGCUGAGGUGGGAGGAUCGCUUGAGCCCAGGAGUUCUGGGCGGUAGUGUGUUAUGCCGAUCGGGUGUCCACACUAACUUUGGCAUCAAUAUGGUGACCUCCCGGGAGCAGGGGGACUACCAGGUUGCCUAAGGAGGGGUGAACCGGCCCAGGUCAGAAGCAGAGCAGGUCAAAACUCCUGUGCUGAUCAGUAGUGGGAUUGCGCCUGUGAAUAGCCACUGCACUCCAGCCUGGGCAACAUAUCGAGACUCCCAUCUUU
rnacentral:SRP_RNA from 1 species